rnacentral:rRNA from 1 species
AACGCGAAGAACCUUACCUAAGCUUGACAUCCUUUUGACCGAUGCCUAAUCGCAUCUUUCCCUUCGGGGACAGAAGUGACAGGUGGUGCAUGGUUGUCGUCAGCUCGUGUCGUGAGAUGUUGGGUUAAGUCCCGCAACGAGCGCAACCCUUGCCUUUAGUUGCCAGCAUUAAGUUGGGCACUCUAGAGGGACUGCCAGGGAUAACCUGGAGGAAGGUGGGGAUGACGUCAAAUCAUCAUGCCCCUUAUGAUUUGGGCUACACACGUGCUACAAUGGCGUGAACAGAGGGAAGCAGAGCCGCGAGGCCGAGCGAAUCUCAAAAAACGCGUCCCAGUUCGGACUGUAGUCUGCAACCCGACUACACGAAGCUGGAAUCGCUAGUAAUCGCAGAUCAGAAUGCUGCGGUGAAUACGUUCCCGGGUCUUGUACACACCG